rnacentral:rRNA from 1 species
UCAGGACGAACGCUGGCGGCGUGCUUAACACAUGCAAGUCGAACGAUGAAGCCUUUCGGGGUGGAUUAGUGGCGAACGGGUGAGUAACACGUGGGCAAUCUGCCCUUCACUCUGGGACAAGCCCUGGAAACGGGGUCUAAUACCGGAUAACACUCUGUCCCGCAUGGGACGGGGUUAAAAGCUCCGGCGGUGAAGGAUGAGCCCGCGGCCUAUCAGCUUGUUGGUGGGGUAAUGGCCUACCAAGGCGACGACGGGUAGCCGGCCUGAGAGGGCGACCGGCCACACUGGGACUGAGACACGGCCCAGACUCCUACGGGAGGCAGCAGUGGGGAAUAUUGCACAAUGGGCGAAAGCCUGAUGCAGCGACGCCGCGUGAGGGAUGACGGCCUUCGGGUUGUAAACCUCUUUCAGCAGGGAAGAAGCGAAAGUGACGGUACCUGCAGAAGAAGCGCCGGCUAACUACGUGCCAGCAGCCGCGGUAAUACGUAGGGCGCAAGCGUUGUCCGGAAUUAUUGGGCGUAAAGAGCUCGUAGGCGGCUUGUCACGUCGGAUGUGAAAGCCCGGGGCUUAACCCCGGGUCUGCAUUCGAUACGGGCUAGCUAGAGUGUGGUAGGGGAGAUCGGAAUUCCUGGUGUAGCGGUGAAAUGCGCAGAUAUC